ACAAAACGCACCGUUUUAAGAAGUAAAACACACGAACACUACCCGGACAGUCGACAGUGCAGUGUAGUGAUUACGAUCAGAGGAAGAAAAUGGAGGCCGUUGGAGGUGGUAAUGGCGUACGAGUUCCAACACCAUCUUUCCUCUUCAGGGGUAUUGCAAUUGAAAUCAAUGGAGCCUUAGGUGUAGAAUUAAGUGCAUGAUUUGGGCAAGCUAGGGUUUUACAUCAUAACCAAAUUCUCCGUCAUUUCUUACUUGCCAGGAUGCCACUUCCUGCCAAUUCCAUCUUGUGGCCCAACCACAAGCCAAAUAAGAUUCCUAUUGUUCCCAGGUAAAAUUCUUGUGGACAAAGUUAAGUAUAUCUAAGCAGUUCCUGCCUUUAAAUGUGGCUUUUACCAAUAUCUUGUAAUAGUUAGUAAUAAUGAUAAUAAUAGUAAUACUUAAUAUGACUUAAUUGAUGACAACCACAUUUCCAUGCCCCCUAAAUUUUAAGCAUUAUCCUUUUGGUUUCAUGACUAUGUUCUUUAAAGUCAAAUGUGUUGAUUGUUUUCUUAUUUAUGAAUGUUGCUGUGAUUUGAACUUUUCAUU